UGGGGUUUCUGUCCUCUCAAAAACCCCUUCACCACGAUGGCUUUGAGAAAUCACUGAUUGAAAGGCCUCUGCUGACUGGCAGCUCCCUGGUAUGACAGUCUUCAGUUGGAAAGCUUGUUUGCACAUUGACAACAGCAUUGCAGGGACGUUUCUGGUGUACUCCCUGGGCUGGAAGGAAACUGCAGUUUGUUUUUAGAGCUUUUGCCUUGGAAUCUUUCUGUCCUUCCCCAGCUCCCUUUCCUCCUUCUCACUGCCAUAUCUGCAGCAAAAUCAGCAGUUGGAAAGGCUGACAGU
rnacentral:lncRNA from 1 species